AGGGUGAGGUAGGGUGGGGCGGGGGGCGUGGGGACGGCUAAGAUACGGCAGAAGGUUUAGCAGCUCCGUGACUGGGCUUUUCGUUACAAGUAGCAGAACCCAAGCUCGGUGAAUAUGGGCACCCACAGAAAACAUUCCGAAACCGAACGCUUGGCCUCCAUGCCCUUCCUGGGUUCCUCCCGUUGUAAGUAGGGACCCCUUUAUAGGCUCUUUGUGGCUCCUCCCCAGGCACACCCAGAAGACUAAGCUGAGGUGAAAAACAAGUCCCAGUUCAGCGGUGAACACGGAGUAGAAUAUGGGCAGUAUUGAAUAAUGCCAGAUACUAAAGGAAGAAAACGUGUGUGAAACCCUCUUCAUUCACUCUCUGAAAGAGAAGAAACUAAUUUUCUGAAGGGAAGCCGCAUAAUAUGGAAAACAUAUGUUGGAGCCACAUGAAUAUAUGGAAGUGAGGCAAGUAAGUGGCAGAACC